rnacentral:rRNA from 1 species
GACAGAGGGGGCAAGCGUUGUCCGGACUGACUGGGCGUAAAGCGCGCGCAGGCGGUUCGAGGCGUCGGUGCUGAAAGUCCACCGCUUAACGGUGGGAAGCGCGCCGAUACGCUCGAACUGGAGGGCGGGCGAGGGUGGUGGAAUUGCCGGUGUAGUGGUGAAAUGCGUAGAGAUCGGCAGGAACACCAGUGGCGAAGGCGGCCACCUAGCCCGCACCUGACGCUGAGGCGCGACAGCGUGGGGAGUGAACUGGAUUAGAUACCCAGGUAAUCCACGCCGUAAACGAUGCCGACUCGGUCUUCGUGAGGCGAAUAGCCUCGGGAGGGCCCGAGCUCACGCGCUAAGUCGGCCGCCUGGGGACUACGAGCGCAAGCUUAAA